rnacentral:rRNA from 1 species
UACGGAGGGUGCGAGCGUUAUCCGGAAUCACUGGGUUUAAAGGGUGCGUAGGCGGCUCGGUAAGUCAGUUGUGAAAGACCCUUGCUUAACGAGGGGGGUGCGAUUGAUACUGUCGAGCUUGAAUCGGGAUGAGGCAGGCGGAAUGUGGCAUGUAGCGGUGAAAUGCAUAGAUAUGCCAUAGAACACCGAUUGCGAAGGCAGCCUGCUGGGCCUGUAUUGACGCUGAGGCUCGAAAGCGUGGGGAGCAAACAGG